CCUACGGGUGGCAGCAGUGAGGAAUAUUGGUCAAUGGACGAGAGUCUGAACCAGCCAAGUCGCGUGAAGGAUGACUGCCCUAUGGGUUGUAAACUUCUUUUAUAAAGGAAUAAAACGAGGCACGCGUGCCUUUUUGCAUGUACUUUAUGAAUACGGAUCGGCUAACUCAGUGACAGCAGCCGCGGUUAUUCGGAGGAUCCGAGCGUUAUCCGGAUUUUUUGGGUUGAAAGGGAGGGUAGAUGGGUGGUUAAGUCAGUUGGGAAAGUUUGCGGCUCAACCGUAAAAUUGCAAUUGAUACUGGCAGUCUUGAGUACAGUUGAGGUAGGCGGAAUUCGUGGUGUAGCGGUGAAAUGCGUAGAUAUCACGAAGAACCCCGAUUGCGAAGGCAGCUUACUAAACUGUGACUGACAUUGAGGCUCGAAAGUGUGGGUAUCAAACAGGAUUAGAUACCCGGGUAGUC
rnacentral:rRNA from 1 species